rnacentral:rRNA from 1 species
GACUGCGAUCGGCAAGGGUUGUUAAUAACCUGUCAGCAGCUUCCGGGAAACCAAAGUGUUGUAGCCCAGGGGGAGUAUGGUUGCAAAGCUGAAACUUAAAGAAAAUGACGGAAGGGCACCACCAGGGCGUGGAGCCUGCGGCUUUAAUUUGACUCAACACGGGACAACUUGCCCGGCCCGGACACAGGAAUGAUUGACAGAUUGAGAGCUCUUUCUUGAUUCUGUGGGUGGUGGUGCAUGGCCGUUCUUAGUCGGUGGAGUGAUUUGUCUGGUUAAUUCCGAUAACGGACGAGACUCUGACAUGCUAACUAGUUUCGCUUGCCCUUGGUCAGGUGGGAACUUCUUAGAUGGAUUGGCGCUUUUUUUCAAUGCGCAUGAAAUAGAGCUAUAACAGGUCUGUGAUGCCCUUAGAUGUUCGGGACCGCACGCGCGCUACAAUGAAUUAGUCAAUAGGAUUUAGCUGAGGCGAAAGCUUGUCGCAAGACAUUUCGGCGAAUCGAACAAACUAGUUCAUGCUUGGGAUAGUUGCUUGUAAUUCUUCAACUUGAACGAGGGAAUGCCUAGUAAUGAUGAGUCAUCAGCUCAUCGUGAUUACGUCCCUGCCCUUUGUACACACCGCCCGUCGCUAGUACCGACUAGUUGGUUUAGUGAGUCGCUUGGAUUUAUAGUAGGGAAGGGCGCAAGUCCGGAACUGCAGUGAAGAAGAAUGGCAAACUUGGUCAACCGG